AAGCCAUGCAUGUCUAAGUAUAAGCAACUAUACUGUGAAACUGCGAAUGGCUCAUUAAAUCAGUUAUCGUUUAUUUGAUAGUGCCCUACUACUUGGAUACCUUGUGGUAAUUCUAGAGCUAAUACAUGCGUAAAACCCCGACUUCGGAAGGGGUGUAUUUAUUAGAUAAAAAACCAAUGCCCUUCGGGGCUCCUUGGUGAUUCAUAAUAACUAAACGAAUCGCAUGGCCUUGCGCCGGCGAUGGUUCAUUCAAAUUUCUGCCCUAUCAACUUUCGAUGGUAGUUUAGUGGACUACCAUGGUUU
rnacentral:rRNA from 1 species